AGUGAACGCUGGCGGCAGGCCUAACACAUGCAAGUCGAGCGGCAGCGCGGGGCAACCCUGGCGGCGAGCGGCGGACGGGUGAGGAAUGCAUCGGAAUCUACCUCGUUGUGGGGGGAUAACCUCGGGAAACCGGGACUAAUACCGCAUACGACCUACGGGUGAAAGUGGGGGACCUUCGGGCCUCACGCGAUGAGAUGAGCCGAUGCCGGAUUAGCUAGUUGGCGGGGUAAGGCCCACCAAGGCGACGAUCCGUAGCUGGUCUGAGAGGAUGAUCAGCCACACUGGAACUGAGACACGGUCCAGACUCCUACGGGAGGCAGCAGUGGGAAUAUUGGACAUGGGCGCGAAGCCUGAUCCAGCCAUGCCGCGUGUGU
rnacentral:rRNA from 1 species